GGGGAGGUAGCUCAGUGGUAGAGUGCUUGCCUUGCUUGCAUGAGGUCCUGGGUUCGAUUCCCCAGCACCA
rnacentral:tRNA from 1 species